rfam:Freshwater sediment metagenome lwMethenol_BCHA15000_y2, whole genome shotgun sequence.
CAGUGGGUGAGAGUCCCACCCGGCAAAGGGUCGCUCCAGCCGGAAGCAGUCGGAGCGGUGAGAGGAGGUAACGAAUUUCGCUGAAACACUCCGAUGACAAAGGGUCGCUUAAGGCGACUCAGCGAGCAUGCAGGCCGUAACGCGA